rnacentral:lncRNA from 1 species
CUUUCUAUUAUUAUCAGCUAAAAUCAAGGUCCCAUAUUUUAUUGACUGUCAACUAUCUAAUGUGCUUUAUCUCUAGUCUCAGCUGGGCCCUCCCUGACCUGAGCUGUUCCAGGAGAAAUGGGCAACUCUGAACGCUGGUGAAAAUUGGAACAUCAAUGUGUCCUCGAAGCAAAUCUGUGAAGUGUCCUGGGAGAACUGCAAAAUUGAGAAUCCUUUCCGUGAGG